rnacentral:rRNA from 1 species
GCAAUUCAAGCGGAUGAAGGGAGCUGCUUCCGGAUCCAGCGCCGGACGGGUGAUAAAUCCAUAGGAAUCUGCCUGGUAGUGGGGGACAACGUUUCGAAAGAAACGCUAAUACGGCAUACGUCCUACGGGAGAAAGCAGGGGACCUUCGGCCCUGCGCUAUCAGAUGAGCCUAGGUCGGAUUAGCUAGUUGGUGAGGUAAUGGCUCACCAAGGCGACGAUCCGUAACUGGUCUGAGAGGAUGAUCAGUCACACUGGAACUGAGACACGGUCCAGACUCCUACGGGAGGCAGCAGUGGGGAAUAUUGGACAAUGGGCGAAAGCCUGAUCCAGCCAUGCCGCGUGUGUGAAGAAGGUCUUCGGAUUGUAAAGCACUUUAAGUUGGGAGGAAGGGUUGUAGAUUACUACUCUGCAAUUUUGACGUUACCGACAGAAUAAGCACCGGCUAACUCUGUG